ACGAGGCCCAGGGGAUCGUCACAUCUCGCCCCUGCCUCGGGUUCGUGGUGGAGGCAGAUCGCAUCUUCCUUCGCGGCGGCGGCGGCGGAGAGCCAUCCUUCGAUGCACUAGGCAGACUCACGACCCUCCGUGUGCUUGCGACGACGAUAUGCCCCACCAUCCCUAGUGUUCGAUACGCCCAAGAGUCGCGGCCGCUCCUCACCUGAUGCCCCUCGCGAUCUAGAUUUGGAGGAAGGGUCGCCUCCUGUUCCGUCCCGUGCACCGGAUGUGGAAGACGGAUAGAGGAGCGAGGGAGGGGGCAAGCAUAGAGGAUUCUGGCGGUGGUGCUGCUCAGAACGGUGACAAAGGAGGAUGCUACUUUGGUUCUGACCUGCAGCAGCCGGUGUGGCAAGAGAUGGGGUUGGCUGCUAAAGCGGUGAAACAGGGAUUGUUGAAGGAGCAAUUAGGUCACGUGGAUGGCUUCACCCAGUAUCCAUGGUAUUUGCGGGGAACAUGACAGUCCCAAAUUUACUCCAGUGACCCUGUUCGGCCAACUAGGAUGAAUUUCAAGCUAUCUGCAUCCUCAUCCUCAUUCAGAUAUUUCUAGCAAAGCACAAGUGUCUCAUGUCAUCCUCAACUAACAUGUACUAUAUGUUAUAUUCUGAUAUAUCUAUGCAUAAGCCUGUAUGGGUGAGGAGCUGCGCCUUUCUAAAUUUACAUGGCCGAAGUUCUGUAGGUGUAUGGGAUUUCUUCAGAACCAACAGCGUGGAUGUUCAGGCGAGACAGCCGCUAUGAGAACAUGAUUCAUAUGCUUCAGUUCCAUCCACGCUCAGGCCAAUAUGCAACUUGGUGGUGGAGGACGACGCGAGUCGACGAGAUGCACAAUUCCUAUGCUUCAGAUGGACUGCAACGAAUUAGAGUAUCAUGCAACAGUGACCAUUGAUGAUUUUGGCAAAAGCAAUUUGCUAUCUGGAGUGUGACACCCAGGUGUACUAUUGUUUCCAUAUCCUCUAUUUUUCUUUUUUGCAAGUCAAUAACAUUUUCCCCGAAUUUUUUUCUUAUCUUGAAAUUAUUUAAUCCCCUGCGAAUUUAUUUCAGUGACAUCAAUCGAUCUUCUGAUUACAAUAACUUUGAGUGAAAAGAUAUACUUCACGUAUAAAUAUAUUUGUUCUAACUUUGCAUUCUGAUGAAUAUUUAGCUGCAUAUAAUUACAUUCAGAAAAUGAGAAAUGUAUUGAUAGGCAGCCGCAAUGUUUAUUAUAAUCGACUACAAUAAAAUAUUGUGGAACGAUGUGCAUAAUUUGUAAUCUCAGCAUAAAUAUACCUCACAUAUUUCAUAGAAAGACAUAGGUUUGCCAUAUUUUUAUAAGAUGUUAUUUAUCUUAAUUGUGAAAAAAGCAACAAUGGCAACAUAAAGUUGGUGUGACAUAUGUGCAGAAACAUCAUGCUUUAACAUAGCCACACCGACAUGAGAGUAACUAACAAUCUUCUUCACAUGAGUAAUCAGAAAAGAAAACUAUCACUAGAUUAUACUAAAAUUGGUUCCGGUGCUUAUUUUGUUUUUUCAGAAAAAUAUCAUAUCUAUGAAUUACACACAAAAAAUGUUUACUACUCCCUCUGUUCCAUAAUUCUUGUCAUGGUUUUAGGUCAAAUUUGAAUCAAAACCAUGAAAAGAAAGUAUGGAACGUAGAUGGUACUUUUUAUCCUAGCCUGUGCAGGUGCACAUGUUGAAUUUUAAACAUUAUCCUACUGGAAUGGUUCAAUGACAGUUGAGUUCAUCGCAUUGGGACUCACCAUGUGUCUGGCGUGUUGUGAUUAGGUGACCACCUCGCAUGAAAAAAGUGAGAUUAGCUGAGGCGACAUGGGUGAGGUGUCACGUUGAAAUAGAGAACAUGGCAGAAAGGGAGAACUUAGCCAUGCUUAUAUGGUUACACCUGCUUAAAGUCUUUUUUUUUUCUCCCGUUGCAUCGCACGGGCCUUUUUGCUAGUAUAUAUUUUUUAUAUCUAUCCCUAAUAAUAAAGCACAGAUUGACUCCGUGGGUUCAUCGUCACAAUACGCUUUUCUUUUUAUGAAUUUACGUUUUCAGUUUGAAUUUAAAACAUAUAUGCGAGGUGGUACUAAAGUGUAAGAAAAAACGAUUCGAUUCCUCAAACCCGCAGUCCGUGACCGUAGAUAAGUACUUACUCAAUCUAAUGGCUUAGGCCCAUGAAGUCGUUCGUCUAGUUGCGUCCCAUAGUGAUUCUAGCCCAACGAAGGCGGCCCACAAAAGGGGUAAAAGCCGUGAUAAAAUAUAAUUCAAACCCGCAGUCCGUGACGGUAGAUAAGUACUUACUCAAUCUAAUGGCCUAGGCCCAUGAAGUCGUUCGUCUAGCUGCGUCCCAUAGCGAUUCUAGCCCAACGAAGGCGGCCCACAAAAGGGGUAAAGGCCGUGAUAAAAUAUAACUGCCAGUGCAGGAAUUCGAACUCACAACCUGCCUGUUUUGAUUGAUCCCACCUCGUCACUAUAUAUCUCAUCCUCCUAAUUUAUAUAAGAUUUCAGCCGACGUUGCAACGUGCAGCGAGAUAAAUAAUAAGGAAAGCAAAAGAUUUGAGAUGGGGAUACUAAUAAGGAAAGCCUUCCAUGCCGAAGCAAAUUUGAGAAAGAAAUUUGUGCGGCAAGGGUAAUAAUAAGGAAGGAAAAGGAAUUGAGACGGGGAAUAAUAAGGAAAGCAAUCCACACCGAGGCAAAGGAUUGGAGAAGGAAAUUGCGAUAGGAGAGAUAAUAAGGAAAGCGUUAAAAUAAAUUAAGAGGCUUCCGUUCGAGGAAAAGAGGCAGGAAAGAUCCUGUCAAGAAAAAAAUUAUGCAGGAUCCCAUGGAAGGGUUGUGGAAAUUAAAUCAGCCUGAGCUUCUUCUUUUAUUCUGCAUGAUUUUAAAAAGGGGCUAGAGAAAUCAUCCGCCUAUUCAGCCAUUCGAUCGGCGCACUGGUGGCCUUGAAUUACAACGACGCCAUGGCAGCAGCGAGUCAAUGCACCGUCAGUGCAGUGCCAGCGAAGCUCUCCAACGCAGCACCACGGAUGGCGUCCGGCGAGCUCCAUUGCAACCCCAGCGCAGCUCCGAUGCAGCACGGACGCUCCGGCGAAGCUCCAUUGCAACUCCGGCCAAGCUCCAAUGCAGCCUCGACGGAGCUCCAACGCAGCGCCGACGGCUCCGGCGAAGCUCCAUUGCAACUCCGGUGGAGCUCCAUUGCAGCCCGGCGUAGUCCAAGGCAGCACCGACGGCUCCGGCUCCAUGGGUCGCAUGUCGCUUGCUGCACUGCAGCUCCCCGGCGAUUCGCGUUGCGGCGUCACUGGUCGAUGGCGAGAUCGUGGGGUCGCAGCGCUGCCAUGGUCGCGCCUAGAAAAAGGAGAAGAAGCAGGUGGAGCGGUGGUGGCAGCUGGUGGUGCCUGCAGCAGCGGGUUGGGUUGGCUCAUACAACGGUGGUUGACGGGCCGGUGGCCGGUGGCGGCUUGCUUAUCCUGCAUCGGGAGAAGAAGAUGGGGAUUUGCUUCUGCAAUGGUAGGAGAUGAGGUAGACAAGAGGCACGGGUUGAGGAUAAGGUUGCCAGGUCCACGCCAUGCGGGACACGUGUCGCUAAGACGAGGCGACUUACGCGUCGCUGUUAUAAGCCGAAUGAAAAUAAACGAUUUCCUUUCAAAAAUAAGUUUUAAAAAUCAUGUCUUUUUUUUUCUAGAAUACACACGAUAAAAUCCAUGCCAUGGUUAUUGGGUGAGGGCCGUGUGAUAUUUUCUUCUAAUCUAGAUACCGUCAACAUUUUAGACAUUGCCCCUCAUCUGAUUGUUUUGUUGGCCAGAGACCAAGAUCUGUGACAUAUGUGGACGCGAACCAGAUGUUGCCAACUCUUACAUCACCUUAAUGAGGUCAUCGAAAUGCCGUCCCCAAGUAAAAAUGUUGUCACUUAGUUAGCAUCAUCCUUACAAGUUUAGAGCAGCAAGCCUCCAAAGCUUCGUCUUUCACCUAUUUUCUCAGCCGUCAUUUCAUAAAAACCUUUUUGCAGUGUUAUAUUUUUUCUACACUCCCAUUGCAACGCACGGGCAUUUGUGCUAGUAAUAAUAAAGCACGAAUUGACUUUGUCGGGUUCACCGUCACAAUACGUUUUUUUCUCACGUCAUAAUACGCUUUUAUGACUUGUAUAGACAAAAUCAUAAUAUAAACGAGGUGGUACUAAUUUAAGCCCGCACUUUGUUUUUACCAAAAAAAACCUCUAUUAAACCAAAACUACCAAACGAAUCCUCCGCCUCCUCCCCUGCUCUCGCCAUCGCCCGCAGAGCUCCACCCAAUCCCUCGCUCGCUCGGUGAGAUCCAAGGCGGCCGUGUCGGCUGGGAGCGGACCCACGCGGGAGGAGGAGUUCGGCGAGCGUGAGCUGGAGGUGGCAGCCAUUCUCGCGGACCUGUCGUCCAUCGUGCGGGCCAGCAGCAGGAGCAGGCGCGGCCGGAGAUCCCCUCGUGGAGCCGGCGCCGGCCGAGGAAGGCCCUAGCGGCUCCGCCGGCCAAGAAGCCCGCGGCCGAUAGCCCGGACACCCCGCUCGCCUUCCUCGACGACGACGAGGCGGCGGCAGCGCAGGACAAGUCGGCGCAGGAGCAGCGCGGCGAUUUUGACGAGUAGGAGAUGGAGCGCGUCACAAGCACCUUGGCUGCACCCUGAGGUUAUCCAUCAGGCAGACUGUCAUCGCACUGUCGUUCACGAUGCUGCUCCCAAGCCUCCUGACGAGAUUGUGCGAGUUGCAACUUACAUGACGCAGAUUCUUUUGCUAUACUUCGGAAGCCGGCAAUAGCAGCGGCAACGUCGACGCAGCCACGGGCUGGACAAAACUUGAUUAGCUUAUUACUGCAUCAAUAAUUUGUGCCUGUAGGACUCUUUCACAAAUCAUGUCAACGAUACUAGCAAUUUGAAGAGGCUGCUGCACAUGAUAUGAAGAUAUUGGCAUAUACAGUCCCAAACAUAAGUUUCAAAAUAGCAGGUGUGGAGUUUAGCCCUAUUCCGCUGUAUGGAAAGCCAUGACCUCCACACAGAUGAUGCAAGAGGAAACAAGCUAGACUCACAACUUUGGUUUUCAGGCAUCUUCACCAACAAAUAUUACCCUGGUACUGACAGGUUGUUAGUAUUAUAUAAGCAUACUUGUUCAGCCUUUCCAUGUGCUGGUCUGAAUAUCUAAACAAGGAAGCAGGCUCAGUUGCUCACCAACCUACUAUUGCUGCCAACAAGUAGCCAGAAGCCCAUAGAAGACAUUUGCAUUGAUCACAGAAAAAUGAAGUAUUGAAUUUGUAGGACAUUGUCAUCCUAAUCUGGUUCCCACAUAUUCAAGAUGUGGAGAUUAGAUCUUUGCUCCAACAAAGCCAUGACCUUCAAUUUUGUUGUUAAUUUAACAGCUGUUUUGAUUGUGCCGAUCGAUCGGCUUAUAAGAGCCAAUUUGGUUUCUUGUGAACUAGAGCAUCCUAUUUUUCAUGAUUAUAUUAAGAGCUUCCUAUUUUUCAUGAUUAUAUUAAGAACUCACAGAUCUCCUUCACAGCCACACCUAACCUGCACAUCAUCUAGAUUCAAGAGAGCCCUACUACUGCAUCCAUACUAAAAUCAAUGUAAAAACAAGGGAAGUUCUAACCCGAUAUCUCCGUCUCCUAUGAACAAAUUUUAAGCCCGAUUGAUGGCAAGUGCAUUGCAUGUGUAAGUAAUCUGGGUUGAACGUACUUGAGGUCUUCCAUCACUUUUAUUACUUGAAUAGAAAUUGUGCACAUUGCACGAACUACCCAUUAAUGGGCAGCUGAUAUAUAUGAUGCUUGGUUCAUAAUAGCUACUUCAGGUUAUCCCUUCUGCUAUAUUUUUCGUACUCCCUACUUUUGCGAGAUCUGAACUGGUAGAGAAAACAGACCGGGAUAUUCGGUUCCUACCUAGAGAUGCAGUGAGGACUUACUGUAUUGAUUAGUCAUUUGAAGAGUUAACUAGAAAGCAUUUAGUAUGUCUUCAGUUAUGUUGUCGUGGGCUGUGCACACGAUUCACAGACAAAAAAACAGCACCGUGCAUUGUUUUUUUCCAUGCAUGCAGCAUGUGCAACAAAUUUGCUACUAUGGACUAAAAACAAUCACCAACUAGCUGAAUCAACGGACACUCUAUGGGAAGGAGAACAAGCAUACUAAAUAACGCGAAGCAGAGUAAUUCCAAGAUAUUUUGAGAAUUCAUUGCAGUGGACUGUGUUGUGAUUCGAUUUUUCUUAACCUUGAUAAUAUUGUCUUGGAUUUGAAAUGAUGGUAUACAUUUAUUCUUCUUCUUUUGUAUAGUUGUGAAGACCAAACUUAGAAAAUUGUACCGGUUGUGAUUUCAAUCGAGUUUGAGGCUUCUGUCAAAUAUAAUUAUGUUCCCUGCUGAUUAUAAUUUUGUUCACGUAGAUGCAUGAAGUUUCUUGUUCGUUUUAUUUGGAAAUAAUCUUGAUUUAUUCUACCGUCUUGAUCUUAAAGCGACAUUUUUCUCCUGACACUGUUCGCUGGUCACUGUGGUGAACCGAACAGCAAAUCAUGGACUUUAGAGCCCGACCGCAGGCCUCACGGAGCACCAACGAUAGCCUCAAGGUGAUUCAGCAGAGCAAGGUGAUGAGUACUCAGCUGGCUGGUCAAUAUCAAUGAUCUUAUCGGCCGGCAAAGCGGAGACGGACGACCACGGUCCCAACCUUGCCAGCAGGCGGAGACAAUAAAUGGGAUCAAGGGAAGUUGGUCGGGCUCCAGCGGCACAUGCUUACCACUGCUGACUGUUGCCGGGAAAGGUAUGUUGGUUUGAUUCUUUCAAGAUCCCAAACUAAAACAAGUCACCUGUGACAUUUGAAUGAUGCAAAGGUUUGUUGUCUCUUCCCAAGAAAUUGUGUGCAGAGAAGCUGCCUUGAUUUUACAUGCUGAACCUAUUUUUGCAUAAUCAAACACUGACGAUAAGAGAGAUGAAUGUGCAGUAUGCUAAAUUUGGGUAUCCAAUUGCAAAAGAAUUGGAUUAUUAUUUACAUUAGAAGCCAGGUUAUCACUAUGUAUUUUAAAUUGAUCGCUCAUGGACCGCUCAAUUGGCCAUAAACACAACAUAAUUCGAUCCCUCCCUUCAAAUUGGCAACUAAAGGGAAGGUGAGUUAAAAUGUCUCAGCCCCUGUGACCUGGCUGGUUAUGUUUAUAUUACAUCCAAUAUUAUGUGUACUCAUUUGAUCUAAGGUUAUUUUUAAUAACUUGUUUUUUUGUCACGAACAAAUCGAUGAACCAGUGGUUCAACCGGUGACAGACGCAACGGUUCAGUUGCCCGUUCGGUUUUAAAAAAUAUAGUCCGAUGGCCAUGGUGGAAGAACACGACAUGAAGUGCUUUGUAUCCCGAGAAUGACGAGGAGACAUGAGCAGCCGGUGGCAGUGCUUCGCACUUCGAGCAGUAGGGAUACUUGAUCAUAGGGAAAGGGAAGGGAGAUGAGUUCGUGCUUGCAUGAUUUUUAGGGAAAGAGCGUGUGUAUUGUACUUCUAUGUGCAUGAAGUGUUUUGUUUGGGCCAAGCCCAAAUAAUGAAAAUAAAACACUAUCUCUAAAAUUAUUCAAAUCCUUUUGCAUUUA